ensembl:snRNA U6 U6 spliceosomal RNA
GUGCUCACAUCCAUAGAACAUACACUAAAACUGGAACCACACAGAGAUUAUUAGCAUGGCGGCGCCUGUGCAAAGGUAACAUGCAAAUUCGCGAAGCAUUCCAUAUUUUU